rnacentral:sRNA from 1 species
CAACGGCCCGAAGGGUGAGGAGCGAAGCGACGAAUAAUCCUUUCCCCACCGCCA